AGUUUGAUCCUGGCUUAGGAUGAACGCUAGCGGCAGGCUUAACACAUGCAAGUCGAGGGGCAGCGGGAUGUAGCAAUACAUUGCCGGCGACCGGCGGAUGGGUGCGUAACGCGUAUGCAACCUACCUUAUACAGGGGAAUAACCUUUCGAAAGGGAGACUAACACCCCAUGGUAUUGAUUUAAGGCAUCUUAGAUUAAUUAAAUAUUUAUAGGUAUAAGAUGGGCAUGCGUAUGAUUAGCUAGUUGGUAAGGUAACGGCUUACCAAGGCGACGAUCAUUAGGGGUUCUGAGAGGAAGGUCCCCCACACUGGUACUGAGACACGGACCAGACUCCUACGGGAGGCAGCAGUGAGGAAUAUUGGUCAAUGGGCGCAAGCCUGAACCAGCCAUGCCGCGUGCAAGGAAGACGGCCUUAUGGGUUGUAAACUGCUUUUACAUAAGACUAACCGUAUAUUUGCGAAUAUACCUGAAUGUAUUAUGAGAAUAAGGAUCGGCUAACUCCGUGCCAGCCGCCGC
rnacentral:rRNA from 1 species